rnacentral:rRNA from 1 species
AGAGUUUGAUCCUGGCUCAGAACGAACGCUGGCGGUAUGCUUAACACAUGCAAGUCGAACGAACAAAAUUGGGGCUUGCUCCAAUUUUAGUGAGUGGCAAACGGGUGAGUAACACGUGGGAAUCUACCUAUCAGUACGGAAUAACAUUUGGAAACAGAUGCUAAUACCGUAUAUUCUCCAAGGAGGAAAGAUUUAUCGCUGAUAGAUGAGCCCGCGCAAGAUUAGGUAGUUGGUAGGGUAAUGGCCUACCAAGCCGACAAUCUUUAGCUGGUCUGAGAGGAUGAUCAGCCACACUGGGACUGAGACACGGCCCAGACUCCUACGGGAGGCAGCAGUGGGGAAUAUUGGACA